AAAUAGAACUUUGCAGAGAGAGUUAACAGGGCGUGAAACCGUUAAUUGGCAAACGAAUCGGAGCCACGAAGUCGUUUCGUUGUUUAGUCGGGACUAGGUUCAGCGAGCAAGAGAUUGCUCGUUUAUUCCUGUGUCUGGCCAAACCUUGUAAGCGUACACUGCAACCAGUUAGACGAUUAACCAUGGAUUUAGUUGCCACGCGAGGGGUUAAACCCUCAAAUGGUAAUGCAACAUUUGUUUAGCCAAGUUAGUAGUAGUGCUGUGCGCCCUUGUGGUGCAUUGGUGUUGCUGGACUUGCGCUAAGUGAACUAUGGCUAAAUACUGACUGGCAAAAUGAAAAUCGCCCACGAGGCGUGCUAAAUAACGCUGCUUGUAGUACAAGUGUCUACACACUCAGCUGCUAGGUCUUAAGCUCAGCAUUUUUAAAUUCAGACCUGCUUGCUACCAGUGGGGCAACUCCUGGUGCUUGUAUGGCUUCUGUCUAAUUGGGUGUUGACUUGGCCUGGUAUCGUCUUGGGUGUGCUACGAUCGGGCGCCUGUACUAGCGAGUACGCUAUUUAAUUGGCAGUGAGUAGGUCGGCUUUCCGAACGACCCGUCUUGAAACACGGACCAAGGAGUCUAAUUAGGCAUCGAGUCGAUCGGUCUUGAAUAGGCCAGACUGGAAGAUUGCUCGCAAUCUUCCGAUUGAAGGCGCAGAGAAAUCAAAUCAUGUGAUCCUUGCGGGCAACAACAGCCCCCUGGCGCAACAUGUGCCUGUUCGUAUAGCAUUGUUGCAAAACAUGCUGAGCGGAGUCAGGAGAUGCCUGAUUGGGACCCGAAAGAUGGUGAACUAUGCUUGGGCAAAUUGAAGCCAGAGGAAACUCUGGUGGAGGAUUGUAGCGAUUCUGACGUGCAAAUCGAUCGUCAGACCUGAGUAUAGGGGCGAAAGACUAAUCGAACCAUC
rnacentral:rRNA from 1 species